UUGUGUUGAUAAAGCUUUAUUUAUAAACACACGCACAGGGCCAGAUUUGGGCCACAGGCCGUAGUUGCCAGCCCGGCUUUAACUGCUGGUCCUCACAGUCUCACUGCCUCCUGCAGGGUGGGCAUGUGGGUGUCGUGUUCACGCAGCCCCUUCCUCCACCCCACAGACACGCUGGUGGCUGUCCUGGAGCGUGACACACUGGGCAUCCGUGAGGUGCGGCUGUUCAACGCCGUUGUCCGCUGGUCCGAGGCCGAGUGUCAGCGGCAGCAGCUGCAGGUGACGCCGGAGAACAGGCGGAAGGUUCUGGGCAAGGCCCUGGGCCUCAUUCGCUUCCCGCUCAUGACCAUCGAGGAGUUCGCCGCAGGUAACAGAGCUCGGGCCCAGGGGCUGGUUUGGGAGGGGAGUGGCACACAGGUGGGCAUCUGGGUACCGAGGAUAGUGCCAAGUUCACUGCGGAAAGCCUGGCAGAUGCCUGGAGUAUACAGAUGGGAAGAAACCUGGCUUGUGAGGACGCGUCCACGGGGCCAUCUGUUAGCCCCGGCCCGGCUCUGUCCCCACCGUGCGCAUUGCCAGACCCCGCCUCUCGUGUCUGUCCAGCUGUUUUGGUGGCAUCUUCCCAGGAGGGAAGGGAGUCCCCAUCUCGGGCCCUUGUGCUACCUGCUGGUGCAGGUACCGGUGUCCGUGACGAGCUCAGGAGGGCUCUGACAUGGCCGGGGUGGCUGUCAUGUGCCCGAGUGGGCCUUGGGGUCCCCUGCUGCAGGGCCUGGGCUCCGGGGUGACGUGAAGGGGCAGCACUAACGAUGCCUCCUGCCCUCAUGUGGCUGCUCACUGCCUGACGCCAUCCAGCUCUGGAGCAAAACAGGCCUGGAACUUUCCAGAAGGGGCUGGGACAGAGCCCUGGGGCUGGUGCACGCUCGCCGGCUGGCCUUCCCCAGGUCCACGCGGCC
rnacentral:sRNA from 1 species